UGAAAAGGGCGGUAAAAUUUGGUUCGAUGUAAUAUGUCAUAUGGUUGUUGUGAUAUGAUUCUCUACGAAGGAAGAUGUGUGAUCCUGGAGGUGUUCUUUCGAUACUGUGCGCUCAUUUGAGUUUGUUGUUGAAUAUUCCUAUAAAACCUGAGCAUUUCAAAUCAGCAAAGUUCAAUGAGAAUAAGGAGAAUAAUGUGCGUGAACUAUGGAACGUUUUGCGCAGUUUGUGUCUUGGCUUAGAAUUGAAGCUUCCUGCAGUCGGAGAUGAUAUUCAAUUUGUGAAGAUGAGUCUUCUUGUUCUGGGAUAUGAAAAUUUUGAAUUUUAUAGCCUCCCUUCAGAUAUGUCAUCUGGAAGCAGAGAGCUAUUGAUUGCAUUUUCGUGGCUUAUAGCAAAAACAAAUGUACUCGAAAGCAUUGUGCAACAGAAGGUCUUGGAGUCUCGACUGGUAUCUGAAUACGGAAACACACAACAUGUACAGUUGGAGACAAGUGUGACCAGCAAUCAGAAAGCAGAUGUAAAAAAUGAUAAUGACUGUAUGCAUUAUAUCUUAUUGAUGGCUGGUAAAAUUAGUCAUAAUUUGAAGAUAAUUACUGAGACAAGUAAAGAAAUGAUUAAUUUGGUUUCCAAGGUACAUCAGAGCACUGCUACCGUCACUGGCCUUCCUCAUCUGUCAGUUGUUCAAACAAGGCUAUUAAAGGAUCCUGAAAAAUAUGCUAGUGAGUUGCAAGAAAUCAAAAGAUUGGCUUUAGUGAUUGAAACAUGGAAACAAUGGCUUAAAAGGUCCACAUUGUUUUGGGAAUGGAUGGCUGGUGUGCUAAUUGAAAGGAAGAAUACGUCGAGGGGCUGCUUACAAUUCUACAGUAAGGAGGACUUCACAGAGUUCAUAAAUUCGGUUAGGAUGAUGUUGAGAUCGUAUUUCUUGUUGCGAGGUCUAAUUGAACAUAAUGACCAAAAGAACGAGACUACUACUCAUUCAGCAGAAGAGCAGAAACCAGAGCUAUUACAGGAUGAACUGAGAAAAGUAGAAACAUUUCAGUUGCCAAGAUUAAUUCUUCAGAGCAAAGAUGAUACUACAGUAUUGGAAAAAUAUAUUACUGAGACAGACAUGUUAGUUAAAGAAAUGGAAGUAAAGUGUAAUCUAAUGAGAAAAGAAAUAUUGUCACAGCUGAAAAUGAGUAUGAAAGGCGCAAAAUACAUCUGUCUUUUUAACAGAUGACGUUUCAAAAUAUUCAGGUGAAUUUUAUGUAGAAGUGUACAGGAACAAUUUUUUUGACGAUUUGGCAGUGUGUGUGUGUGUGUGUGUGUGUGUGUGUGUGUGUGUGUGUGAGAGAGAGAGAGAG
rnacentral:misc_RNA from 1 species